CUUAGGGAGGAGCUUGCGUCACAUUAGUUAGUUGGUGGGGUAAAGGCCUACCAAGACUAUGAUGUGUAGCCGGGCUGAGAGGUUGAACGGCCACAUUGGGACUGAGACACGGCCCAAACUCCUACGGGAGGCAGCAGUAGGGAAUUUUCGGCAAUGGAGGAAACUCUGACCGAGCAACGCCGCGUGAACGAUGAAGUAUUUCGGUACGUAAAGUUCUUUUAUUAGGGAAGAAUAAAUGAUGGAAAAAUCAUUCUGACGGUACCUAAUGAAUAAGCCCCGGCUAACUAUGUGCCAGCAGCCGCGGUAAUACAUAGGGGGCAAGCGUUAUCCGGAAUUAUUGGGCGUAAAGGGUGCGUAGGCGGUUAAAUAAGUUUAUGGUCUAAGUGCAAUGCUCAACAUUGUGAUGCUAUAAAAACUGUUUAGCUAGAGUAAGAUAGAGGCAAGUGGAAUUCCAUGUGUAGUGGUAAAAUGCGUAAAUAUAUGGAGGAACACCAGUAGCGAAGGCGGCUUGCUGGGUCUUUACUGACGCUGAGGCACGAAAGCGUGGGGAGCAAACAGGAUUAGAUACCCUGGUAGUCCACGCCGUAAACGAUGAGUACUAAACGUUGGGUAAAACCAGUGUUGAAGUUAACACAUUAAGUACUCCGCCUGAGUAGUACGUACGCAAGUAUGAAACUUAAAGGAAUUGACGGGACUCCGCACAAGCGGUGGAUCAUGUUGUUUAAUUCGAAGGUACCCGAAAAACCUCACCAGGUCUUGACAUGCUUCUGCAAAACUGUAGAAACACAGUGGAGGUUAUCAGUUGCACAGGUGGUGCAUGGUUGUCGUCAGCUCGUGUCGUGAGAUGUUGGGUUAAGUCCCGCAACGAGCGCAACCCUUAUUGNUAGUUACCAGCACGUAAUGGNGGGGACUUUAGCA
rnacentral:rRNA from 1 species